GACGAACGCUGGCGGCGUGCUUAACACAUGCAAGUCGAGCGGAGCGGCGAACGGGUGAGUAACGCGAGAGUAACUGCCCCCCUCUCUGGGAUAACAGUUGGAAACGGAUGCGAAUACCGGAUCGUGGGGGCUGACUCGCGUCCUAUCAGCUUGUUGGUGGGGUAGUGGCCUACCAAGGCGACGACGGGUAGCCGGCCUGCGAGGGCGACCGGCCACAUUUGGCUGAGAUACGGCCCAAACUCCUACGGGGGGCAGCGGUGGGGAGUAUUGCGCAAUGGGGGAAACCCUGAUGCAGCAACGCGGGGGCGGGAUGACGGCCUUCGGGUUGUAAACCGCUUUCAGCCAUGACGCGGUAGUGGCAGAAGAAGCACCGGCUAACUACGUGCCAGCAGCCGCGGUAAUUC
rnacentral:rRNA from 1 species